GAUGAACGCUGGCGGCGUGCCUAAUACAUGCAAGUCGAGCGAAUGAUGAGGAGCUUGCUCCUCUGAUUUAGCGGCGGACGGGUGAGUAACACGUGGGUAACCUGCCUGUAAGAUGGGGAUAACUCCGGGAAACCGGGGCUAAUACCGAAUAAUAAAAGAGGAAGCAUUUCUUCUUUUUGAAAGUUGGUUUCGGCUAACACUUACAGAUGGGCCCGCGGCGCAUUAGCUAGUUGGUGAGGUAACGGCUCACCAAGGCGACGAUGCGUAGCCGACCUGAGAGGGUGAUCGGCCACACUGGGACUGAGACACGGCCCAGACUCCUACGGGAGGCAGCAGUAGGGAAUCUUCGGCAAUGGGCGAAAGCCUGACCGAGCAACGCCGCGUGAGCGAGGAAGGCCUUCGGGUCGUAAAGCUCUGUUGUCAGGGAAGAACAAGUACGAGAGUAACUGCUCGUACCUUGACGGUACCUGACCAGAAAGCCACGGCUAACUACGUGCCAGCCGCCGCGGUAA
rnacentral:rRNA from 1 species